rnacentral:rRNA from 1 species
UCGAGAAUCUUCGGCAAUGGGCGCAAGCCUGACCGAGCGACGCCGCGUGGAGGACGACGGCCUUCGGGUUGUAAACUCCUGUCGAGGGGGCGGAAGGGCCGGCGCAGAGCCGGCCUUGACCUAGCCCUGGAGGAAGCACGGGCUAAGUUCGUGCCAGCAGCCGCGGUAAGACGAACCGUGCGAACGUUAUUCGGAAUCACUGGGCUUAAAGCGCGUGUAGGCGGGCCGGCACGUCCGUGGCUGAAAUCCCCCGGCUCAACCGGGGAAGGGGCCCGGAUACGACCGGCCUGGAGGGGGGUAGGGGGCGCCGGAACUUCCGGUGGAGCGGUGAAAUGCGUUGAGAUCGGAAGGAACGCCCGUGGCGAAAGCGGGCGCCUGGACCCCACCUGACGCUGAGACGCGAAAGCCAGGGGAGCGAACGG